rnacentral:rRNA from 1 species
ACGAACGCUGGCGGCGUGCUUAACACAUGCAAGUCGAACGGAAAGGCCCUGCUUUUGUGGGGUGCUCGAGUGGCGAACGGGUGAGUAACACGUGAGUAACCUGCCCUUGACUUUGGGAUAACUUCAGGAAACUGGGGCUAAUACCGGAUAGGAGCUCCUGCUGCAUGGUGGGGGUUGGAAAGUUUCGGCGGUUGGGGAUGGACUCGCGGCUUAUCAGCUUGUUGGAGGGGUAGUGGCUUACCAAGGCUUUGACGGGUAGCCGGCCUGAGAGGGUGACCGGCCACAUUGGGACUGAGAUACGGCCCAGACUCCUACGGGAGGCAGCAGUGGGGAAUAUUGCGCAAUGGGCGGAAGCCUGAUGCAGCAACGCCGCGUGCGGGAUGACGGCCUUCGGGUUGUAAACCGCUUUCGCCUGUGACGAAGCGUGAGUGACGGUAAUGGGUAAAGAAGCACCGGCUAACUACGUG